rnacentral:rRNA from 1 species
UAACUGGAGGAAGGUGGGGAUGACGUCAAAUCAUCAUGCCCCUUAUGUCUUGGGCUUCACGCAUGCUACAAUGGCCGGUACAAAGGGCUGCAAUACCGUGAGGUGGAGCGAAUCCCAAAAAGCCGGUCCCAGUUCGGAUUGAGGUCUGCAACUCGACCUCAUGAAGUCGGAGUCGCUAGUAAUCGCAGAUCAGCAACGCUGCGGUGAAUACGUUCCCGGGUCUUGUACACACCGCCCGUCAAGUCAUGAAAGUCGGUAACACCUGAAGCCGGUGGCCUAACCCUUGUGGAGGGAGCCGUCGAAGGUGGGAUCGGUAAUUAGGACUAA